AACGUAGGUGGCGAGCGUUAUCCGGAUUUACUGGGCGUAAAGGGUGUGCAGGCGGGCUGUUAAGUGGUGCAUGAAAUCUCCGCGCUUAACGUGGAGAGGCUGUGCCAGACUGGCAGUCUAGAGUACGGAGAGAGGGUUGUGGAAUUCCGGGUGUAGUGGUGAAAUGCGUAGAGAUCGGCAGGAACACCCAGGGGGAAACCAGCCGGCUGGGGACGAGCUGACGCUCAGGGGCGGAAAGCGUGGGGAGCGAACCGG
rnacentral:rRNA from 1 species